CAGCUUCAGUUUCACUUUAAAAUGUGUUGUGUAAAAGGCCCCCAGUUAACAAGCCAAGAAUCCUGAGCUGCUUAGGUUUUAGCAAUUAUUUUUUACUCUAGAAACCUCUUCAGAAUAGAUGUUUGGCAUACAUGUAAAAUAGCUUAAUACUGCAGAAAGGGGCAUUUUUGUUCACAUAACAACAGCAUUUCCAUUUAUAUGUUUUGCUGUAAAAGUCCCUAGAUAUAUUCCAGAACAAUGCAGCAUUUUAUCAUUCAAUAUAUUGCUUCACGUAGCAGUGGCUAUUUACAAUAGGAUCAGUAUUAAAGUAUUUAUUUCACUAUGAAGUGUUAAAAAAGAAUAAUACAAACCAGGUUGAAUCAAUGGUGCCUUAUGACUUUUUUAGUCAACUUUUCUGUGUCUCAAUAGAAGAAUUAAUAGACAUUGCUCUUCCAGGUCCUAACUAAAUAGUGCUGACAGUAGCAUUUUACAGUGUUUGAGCCGAGCCCUUCUGUUGCUGUGUGCUCAGUCUGCUAACUCCAGGUGGAGCUCAGCCUAUGGAGAUGCCACUGGAUCAGUGUCUAGGUGAGGUGUAUGUGGGCACUGGUUGGCUUCACAAUCAAUUGCUGGUAUUGCUCUCAAAAUUCAGACCUGUCCCAAAACCCGUGUCUGAUGCUGCUGUCCACACAGCCCAGCUGACUUCAGUCAGUGUAAUUGUAUAGGUUACAGAAGUAAAUAUGAUUCACUGCUUGCAUAUAAGAUUUGCUGGGUUUGUUUCAAUGGCAUUGUCUUAUAAACCUUCACACCUCAACCUAUCUUCUUACGUUACCACUGAGGCUUGCACUGUGUGACAACGGCCAUGGAUGUUCGUUUUUGUUUAAUUCAACUCCAUAAAUAAAAUGAGAAUAACUUUUGUACCAUGUAAAAAUAAUUUCGCCUCUGUAUUUUUGGAAGAAAAGCACAUGUUAUGCUUGUUAUGACUUUCUGCACCAGCCAUUGGGAAAAGAGGUCCCAGUGAUGAAUCUUCGGAGUUGUUAAAGGAAAGUCAGCUUGUGAUUCAGGAAGUGUAUAUUUCUAUAAAUGAAAUAAAAUAAUAUGGCAAAGUUCUUGUUUAAAAGCCAGCAUUUUCCAACACUAAAAGAAUCAUAAGGUUUGUUUUUAAUUUUCUGCAAGACAGCACUGUGGAAGAAGUUCCUUAUAUUGUCAGUUAAAAACUGGGCAGUAGUUUCUCCUUGCAGCAUCAGCUGUUUGCAUGACACUUGUAAAAGUAGAUCUGUCUUGGAGCAGGGGAUAAAGGAGCUAAACUGCUAUCAUGCAUCACAUGUAUUAAGUAGAAAAGGUACUUUUUGCCUUGGAGGUAAAGAAAGGAGUUGAGUGAUCAAACAGAUUAUUUUAAGCAGAAUGUCAAAUGUUGAAAGACCUAGAGAAGGCCUUUUGGCCACAGGACGCUGGAAAAGAGAAAAUUGCUCAAGGAAAUAAAAGCCAUUUGGCUGAAUGUCAUUACCAGAACUGGAGUGAAAAAUACGGUAUAAAAUGUGCAUUUUGGAGUUCCACAUGGCAGUGGUGUGAACACCUUCGUCUCACAGCUGAGUGCAACAACCUGUUACAGCGGUACAUGGACUCCAUGGAACACAGAUUGUGUGAGCUUUCAUCUUUCAAACAGUAUUCAUCAGAAAAUAAGGAGAAUCUCUCACCUAAGAUACUCAGGAGCACUUUAAGUGCAAAUUCAUGGAAUGGUUCUUCAUGUACACUGGAGGGAUCUUCUAGCCUGUAAGAUGGUUGUGUUUGGACCAUUCAGUUAAAAUCUAAACUGGAGCAUUGGCAAAGAGGGGAGGAUUGGAAUAACUUGGGCAGAAGCAGGUCAUGUGUGUAUGGUCCCAGUGAGUAUGCAGCAGGUGGGUAUGCAGAUUUAGAAAGCAAAAAUGGAAACUGUAUAUCUUAAGGGAGUAACCUUGUAUGUAUGUUGCCAUUUUGAAAUACAGUUUUCUGUGGUAAAUAUUUUUUACUGUAAACUAAUGCGUGCAGAGGAAGACUUCUUAAUUUGGACUUCCAAAGCCACGCAAGAGGGAGGGAAACAUAAAACAGGCUGAGCAAAAAGUAACAUUUCUAUCCAAUGCUUAAAGUUUGAGCUUUUUAUAAAAUAUUAAUCUAGUUCUGUGAAUUUUUUUGCUUAACAUUUAUUUUGUAAGUGAUUUUGUUCUUAUUUUUCUGUCCUAU
ensembl:lncRNA